CCCUCUUCUUCUCUCACUCACACACACACACUUGCAAACACUCUCUAGGACAUCUUAGGCUCAGUUUCUCCAAGAAUUUAAGCUACACAUUCAGAAUGGGUGGCAACGGUGGUGGCAAAGGAGGAGGAAGUGGUGGUGGUGGAGGUGGCAAAGGAGGCGGUGGCACUGGCGGUGGUGCAGCCAAAAGUGGUGGGGGUGGCUCUACGGGCGGUGGCAGUGGUGGCAAGAUGGUUGCUCCGGGGAGUGGAGGAGGAUCACGCAUUUCAAGGGACUCUUUUCAAAGUAACCCCCAGAUUUAUUUUGCUGGACUACAUGCUGGUCAAAAGGGCAAAAAAUAGUUGUUCUUGUUAAGUACUGCAUGGGAAAAUAUCUUAUUAAUUCUGCUUUAUCGAUAUUAUAUAUAAUAUGUGAUUGAAUAAUAUUAAAGUUUGUAAUGGGCUUGCUAUCCAUAUGAAUCAUAUGCUUGGUAGACAUAUGAAUCAUAUGCUUGGGUAGAUAUCCCUCUUAGGCUUUCUGAUGAUAGUAGUAAUGUGUGCUGUGUAAUAUAUGGUUUUUGUUAAUAAAAUAAUUUUAAUGUCCUACUUGCUUUUGU